AUAAUAUAGACAGCUCCAAAACCCUAAUUUUCUUGCAGAACUGCUCUUUCUGUCUGGUCAGCCAAGAAAAAAGAAAUUAAAGGAUAUUUGAAGAAGGAUAAUAUAUGGAUCAGAAGAGAUAUUACAGAGUGGUGAAUAACAAGAAUAAUGGAAAUAAGAGACAAGAAAAGAACAACAACAAUAGCAAUAGCAAUAAUUCAUCAUGGUCGCCAAUUUCAGAUCUCAAAUUACCACAACAACUAGCAAAUGGAGAUCAAGAUGUUCAAACCCAGAUCGACAAUGUCCUCCAUGGCCCCAAAACGACUACUCGUUUGCUGGUAUUCAAACAAAUUUGCCCUGAUCAAAAUUGAACAAGAAUACUACAUAAUAUUUAUACAUACAUUUGCACAAAAAUAUAUAUAUGUAUAUAGUUUUACUAUUCAUCUUUACAAUAAACAGCCACAUACAUACUCAUAUAUGAUUUUAUUUA